CGAACACUACAAGAAAAUGCUACAUAUUUUUAGCAAAGAAAAUGCUAGAGGAGCAUAGCUUUUUCUCCCCUCUCUCUCAGACACACUUUAAGUUCGGGAAAGGAAUGUUUAGUGCGAAGAGAAACUUUUCAUUGCUUUGAUUUAGCAUUACACUAAGGCCAGUUUGGUGGAGAAAGUCGUUGAGCUUUUUCACAGAAUUCCCUCUUUCAACUGUGUACGGACACGUCAGUCCUUCAAUGCACUCCUUAACGUCCUUGUUGAUGGUGGUCGGUUUUCUGAAGCAAACGACAUUUUCAAUCGGUCCUCUAACAUGGGUUUUCGUCCAAAUUCGAUUUCAUUCAAUAUAAUGAUCAAGGGGUGGCUUGAAAAAGGUUAUUGGGAAGAAGCGUGCAAGGCGUUCGACGAAAUGCUUGAGAGAAAGGAAUGGGAGCUAUCAAUGGCACAACAAAGAAUGAUGUUGGCGCCUAUUGGAGUGCCUGUGGUGGUCAUGAAAUCCGUUGCUCUGCUUCUUAUGGUUGGAGUUGGGUAUUUGUACUAUGGGUUAUAUAUGUAAAUUUGCAUAGAUCUGAGUGUCUAUAUUUGUGUUAUAUAUAUAUAUAGAGAGAGAGAGAGAGAUGUAUUGUAAAAUUGUACAGAUUUAAGUUUGAUUUUUCACAGAUCUGAAGAUUGUAAAUUUAUUGAUAUAUAUUGGUGAUGUUAAGUGUAUUUUUUUUA